UACGGAGGGGGCUAGCGUUAUUCGGAAUUACUGGGCGUAAAGCGCACGUAGGCGGACUGGAAAGUUGGGGGUGAAAGCCCAGGGCUCAACCCUGGAACUGCCUUCAAAACUCCCAGUCUUGAGGUCAGAGAGGUGAGUGGAAUUCCGAGUGUAGAGGUGAAAUUCGUAGAUAUUCGGAGGAACACCAGUGGCGAAGGCGGCUCACUGGCUCGAUACUGACGCUGAGGUGCGAAAGCGUGGGGGAGCAAACCAGG
rnacentral:rRNA from 1 species